rnacentral:snRNA from 1 species
GCUUGCUUCGGCAGCUCAUACUAAAUUGGAAUGAUACAUGGCCCCUGUGCAAGGAUGACACACAAACAAACAAAAUUAACAAAAUAAAA